rnacentral:rRNA from 1 species
ACGGAAGGCAGCAGUGGGGAAUAUUGCACAAUGGGGGAAACCCUGAUGCAGCAACGCCGCGUGAGUGAUGACGGUCUUCGGAUUGUAAAGCUCUGUCUUUAGGGACGAUAAUGACGGUACCUAAGGAGGAAGCCACGGCUAACUACGUGCCAGCAGCCGCGGUAAUACGUAGGUGGCAAGCGUUGUCCGGAUUUACUGGGCGUAAAGGGAGCGUAGGUGGAUAUUUAAGUGGGAUGUGAAGUACCCGGGCUUAACCUGGGUGCUGCAUUCCAAACUGGAUAUCUAGAGUGCAGGAGAGGAAAGGAGAAUUCCUAGUGUAGCGGUGAAAUGCGUAGAGAUUAGGAAGAAUACCAGUGGCGAAGGCGCCUUUCUGGACUGUAACUGACACUGAGGCUCGAAAGUGCGGGGAUCGAACAGGAUUAGAUACCCUGGUA